GACGAACGCUGGCGGCGUGCUUAACACAUGCAAGUCGAACGCUGAAGCUCAGCUUUUGUUGGGUGGAUGAGUGGCGAGCGGGUGAGUAACACGUGAGUAACCUGCCCCCUUCUUUGGGAUAACGCCCGGAAACGGGUGCUAAUACUGGAUAUUCACUGGUCUUCGCAUGGGGGUUGGUGGAAAGGGUUUUUCUGGUGGGGGAUGGGCUCGCGGCCUAUCAGCUUGUUGGUGGGGUGAUGGCCUACCAAGGCUUUGACGGGUAGCCGGCCUGAGAGGGUGACCGGUCACAUUGGGACUGAGAUACGGCCCAGACUCCUACGGGAGGCAGCAGUGGGGAAUAAUGCACAAUGGGCGCAAGCCUGAUGCAGCGACGCCGCGUGAGGGAUGGAGGCCUUCGGGUUGUGAACCUCUUUCGCUCAUGGUCAAGCCGCAACAAUGGUUGUGGUGAGGGUAGUGGGUAAAGAAGCGCCGGCUAACUACGUG
rnacentral:rRNA from 1 species